rnacentral:rRNA from 1 species
CUCUCCUUUCGGGUCUUUUGGGUUUGGCAAUUGGAUGAGUACAAUUUAAAUCCCUUAACAAGUAUCAAAAAGAGGGCAAGUCUGGUGCCAGCAGCCGCGGUAAUUCCAGCUCUUUUAGCGUAUAUUAAAGUUGUUGCAGUUAAAAAGCUCGUAGUUGAAUUUCAAAUUUGACUUGAUGGUCUAGCUUAGGCUGGUACUAUCUUUGUUGGAUUUUUCUUUCUAGGGAACUAUAGUGUUAUUUAUUUGGCGCUUUAGGGAACUAGGACUUUUACUUUGAAAAAAUUAGAGUGUUUAAGGCAGGCUUACGCUUGAAUACAUUAGCAUGGAAUAAUAGAAUAGGACUUUGGUUCUAUUUUGUUGGUUUCUAGGACCAAGGUAAUGAUUAAUAGGGAUAGUUGGGGGCAUUAGUAUUGAGCAGCUAGAG